rnacentral:rRNA from 1 species
AGAGUUUGAUCCUGGCUCAGGAUGAACGCUAGCGGGAGGCCUAACACAUGCAAGUCGAACGGGAUUGAGAGCUUGCUCUCAUGAGAGUGGCGCACGGGUGAGUAACGCGUAUGCAACCUACCUAUAACUGAGGGAUAGCCCAUAGAAAUGUGGAUUAAUACCUCAUAGUUCUUUUGUUCCGCAUGGGAUGAAAGAUAAAGCUCCGGCGGUUAUAGAUGGGCAUGCGUGACAUUAGCUAGUUGGUAAGGUAACGGCUUACCAAGGCUACGAUGUCUAGGGGUUCUGAGAGGAUGAUCCCCCACACUGGUACUGAGACACGGACCAGACUCCUACGGGAGGCAGCAGUGAGGAAUAUUGGUCAAUGGGCGCAAGCCUGAACCAGCCAUCCCGCGUGCAGGAUGAAGGCCCUAUGGGUCGUAAACUGCUUUUAUACACCAAGAAAAACACCCA